ACACUUUCAAGAAAGUUGUGGUCAGGAC
rnacentral:piRNA from 1 species